rnacentral:rRNA from 1 species
AUUGAACGCUGGCGCAUGCCUUACACAUGCAAGGUCGAACGGUAACGGGCCUUCGGGUGCCGACGAGUGGCGAACGGUGAGUAAUGCAUCGGAACGUACCUUCAGUGGGGAUAACGUAGCGAAAGUUACGCUAAUACCGCAUAUUCUGUGAGCAGGAAAGCAGGGGAUCGCAAGACCUUGCGCUGAUUGAGCGGCCGAUGUCAGAUUAGCUAGUUGGUGAGGUAAAGGCUCACCAAGGCGACGAUCUGUAGCGGGGUCUGAGAGGAUGAUCCGCCACACUGGAACUGAGACACGGUCCAGACUCCUACGGGAGGCAGCAGUGGGGAAUUUUGGACAAUGGGGCAACCCUGAUCCAGCCAUGCCGCGUGAGUGAAGAAGGCCUUCGGGUUGUAAAGCUCUUUCGGCCGGGAAGAAAUCGCAUGGGUUAAUACCCUGUGCGGAUGACGGUACCGGCAUAAGAAGCACCGGCUAACUACGUG